UUUUUUUUUUUUUUAAUUUUAAUUUUAAUUUUUAUUUUUUGUCGAAUAAAACGCAUUUCGAUACAUUUUGAGUAUAACAUCGGUAAUGAGGUAAACAAUUAGGAUAUUGCAAGCUAAUGUACAGAACAUGAAACUCAGGGAUACAAUGAAUGACAGAGUUAUGACUUUUGCAAAAUUCAGAGUGUAAUUGUCCCAACUGUACGGUCAAC